CCUACGGGCGGCUGCAGUGAGGAAUAUUGGUCAAUGGGCUUACGCCUGAACCAGCCAAGCCGCGUGAGGGAAGACUGCCCUAUGGGUUGUAAACCUCUUUUGUCAGGGAGCAACGCCGGCUACGUGUAGCCGGACUGAGAGUACCUGAAGAAAAAGCAUCGGCUAACUCCGUGCCAGCAGCCGCGGUAAUACGGAGGAUGCGAGCGUUAUCCGGAUUUAUUGGUUGAAAGGGGGGCGUAGGCGGGCGAGAAAGUUGAAUGUUAAAUCCACCGGUUUAACUGGUAGCUGCGUUCAAAACUGCUUGUCGUGAGUGAAGUAGAGGCAGGCGGAAUUCCUAGUGUAGCGGUGAAAUGCGUAGAUAUUAGGAGGAACACCAGUGGCGAAGGCGGCCUGCUGGGCUUUAACUGACGCUGAGGCUCGAAAGCGUGGGGAGCAAACAGGAUUAGAUACCCGGGUAGUC
rnacentral:rRNA from 1 species